UGACAUGCAAAAGGCAUCGCACUCUGACUAUGCGCUCUCCGCCCCUCGAGGAGAAAGCAAACGGACAGGAGGAAUUCUGCAAAGCAAACACAAACCCUCUUCUACCCCACCCAGCUUAAGCGCACACGCCACUGGAGAAAGAUGGAAUAAAGAAAACGAAACUGCAAUGCGAGAUAUUCUCCAGAGAUGCCUCCUGACCCGCUGAGUUACUCCACUACUUUGUGACUAUCUUCGGUAUAAACCAGCAUCUGCAGUUCCUUGUUGAGUCGCUGCCUCAAAACGGCAGCCAGCAUCAUCAGAGACCCACACCACCCUGGCCACACACUCAUUUCACUCCUGCCAUCGGGAAGAAGAUACAGGAGCCUGCAAACUGCAGCGUCCAUGUUCAGGAACAGCUUUUUCCCUGCAGCCAUCGGGCUAUUAAACACUACAACCUCCAAAUAAACUCUGAUCUAAAUAGACUUGGAAGCAAUGGUUUUGU